CAGGUGGUGCAUGGUUGUGUCAGUCGUGUCGUGAGAUGUUGGGUUAAGUCCCGCAACGAGCGCAACCCUUAUUGUUAGUUGCCAUCAUUCAGUUGGGCACUCUAGCAAGACUGCCGGUGACAAACCGGAGGAAGGUGGGGAUGACGUCAAAUCAUCAUGCCCCUUAUGACCUGGGCUACACACGUGCUACAAUGGGAAGUACAACGAGUUGCGAAGUCGCGAGGCUAAGCUAAUCUCUUAAAGCUUCUCUCAGUUCGGAUUGCAGGCUGCAACUUGCCUGCAUGAAGCCGGAAUCGCUAGUAAUCGCGGAUCAGCACGCCGCGGUGAAUACGUUCCCGGGCCUUGUACACACCGCCCGUCACACCACGAGAGUUUGUAACACCCGAAGUCGGUGAGGUAACCUUUUUGGAGCCUAGCCGCCUAAGGUGGGAUAGAUGAUGUGAGGGUGAAGUCGUAACAAGGUAGCCGAU
rnacentral:rRNA from 1 species